UCGCCUGAGUUGGUUAAUGCUACACCAACAAGGUAGACAUGAUCCUGUGGAGUAGAAUAUGAGCGAUAAAAUUAUUCACCUGACUGAC
rfam:Serratia sp. DD3 SRDD_contig000017, whole genome shotgun sequence.